rnacentral:rRNA from 1 species
CCUACGGGAGGCAGCAGUGGGGAAUUUUGGACAAUGGGCGAAAGCCUGAUCCAGCCAUUCCGCGUGAGUGAAGAAGGCCUUCGGGUUGUAAAGCUCUUUCGCAAGGGAAGAAAACUUAGUCUCUAACAUAGACUGAGGUUGACGGUACCUUGAUAAGAAGCACCGGCUAACUACGUGCCAGCAGCCGCGGUAAUACGUAGGGUGCGAGCGUUAAUCGGAAUUACUGGGCGUAAAGCGUGCGCAGGCGGUUUUGUAAGUCAGAUGUGAAAUCCCCGAGCUCAACUUGGGAACUGCGUUUGAAACUACAAGACUAGAAUAUGUCAGAGGGGGGUAGAAUUCCACGUGUAGCAGUGAAAUGCGUAGAGAUGUGGAGGAAUACCAAUGGCGAAGGCAGCCCCCUGGGAUAAUAUUGACGCUCAUGCACGAAAGCGUGGGGAGCAAACAGGAUUAGAUACCCUGGUAGUCCACGCCCUAAACGAUGUCUACUAGUUGUCGGGUUUUAAUUAACUUGGUAACGCAGCUAACGCGUGAAGUAGACCGCCUGGGGAUACGGUCGCAAGNUUAAAACUCAAAGGAAUUGACGGNNGAGAGNGCGAGACGACACGAGGGAGAGG